UAGCACGUGUCCACGUCUACCUCAGCUUCGUCGCUGCUCCCUUCUCGACACGGCAAAGGAGGGGGAGAAGGAGGUGGCGCGUGGAAGCCUUCAACUGGAAAUUAACAAAAUGUCUAGUUAGAAGAAACGAACCUUUUUAUUAUCUUAUUCAUAAUCAGACCGUACUCUGAACAUAAAGGGUAUGCGAUCCUAGGACAUGAAGCACAACCAUCUAGCUAAUAGAAACACUCAGCAUAAGCUGAAGUAAUUCUGUAAUAGUACUUACAUAUUGCUCCAGCCGUAUAUCUGCAACCUUACAACUACAUAUAUCCAUCUCCUCAAGCACCAUAGUUGACCAUUAUUGGCGCUUCACUGCUCCUGGCAACUUGAUGCUAAUUCGUAGAAACAGUGUUUGGUCUUAUUUUGUAAUUGAAAGUUAUAUCAUCAGAAUAUGCAGCUCUGAGCCUCCCAACACCUCUCUAGAACAAUGAAGGUUUUUUUCUUGCAUUAUUCUUAGUUUGAAUGUAACAAAAUAAUCAAAGAAUGGAACAUCCAACAAUGAUUUAAACAUCGAUUUUGUGUGAGGUUUCCAUGUGAAAAUAAUUUUGUUAUCUAGACAAAGAAUAUGGCAUGUCUAAAAAUGGUCCACCCGUACUGUAAAUUUGUAAUAGCCUACUUGUUAGCCUAAUAUCUAUAUCGAGUUAUAGAUAAAGGAAGAUAUACUGACUGAUGCAAUAGAUGUACCUAGAACUUCUUCCCAUGCGGUUGAUGUAGGCAUUAGUACAGAAGUUAGGCCAGUACUGUGGUAGUGGUUCCUAUUUGAUCCGUGAAAAAUCUGCAGCCCUUACUUUCAACUCUGAGGUUGGUACUUUGAUGCAAUUCCUGAGAAAUUAAAAGAUGGAAAUACCGUAAAAAGCUGCUCAAAGAAGCUUAUGCCGUAGUUUAUACAGACAACCAUAUCGAUCUGAUGAAAAAAUAGGAUUCGAUAAAUCUAGAAUAUCUUGCUUCAUCGAUAAUCAAAUUAAAGUUCAAAUGGCACAAGAGAUUGUUGAGGCCCCAUUUGCCAAUGCAACCUGAAAGGCAGAAAAGAUGAAUUAGGAGGAAACAUAAAUCAAAUUUAACUAUCUAAAGUUUAAGAAGGUGUGAUGUGAUUACCAAACAAACUAUAAAUCAGUACCAAAAAUAAACUAAGCCCUAGUUGAUUGUCGUUUUCACGAAAUAACAUAAAAGUUGCAGUGAUCAUACCAUUGAGUAAUAAGCAAACAUAUCAAACAUGUUGACACAAGGUUUCCAUUCAUAAACCACAAAUUGAUUCUCUCCCCCGCACCUUUCUUCCUGGGCAAUCAUCGGAUGUCAUAUCCACCAUUGAAAACCACA
rnacentral:lncRNA from 1 species